rnacentral:rRNA from 1 species
GAUGAACGCUGGCGGCGCGCCUAACACAUGCAAGUCGAACGAGUAAGACGCCUUCGGGCGUGGAUAGAGUGGCGAACGGGUGAGUAACACGUGACCAACCUUCCCCCUCCUCCGGGACAACCUCGGGAAACCGAGGCUAAUACCGGAUACUCCGGGCACCCCGCAUGGGAUGCCCGGGAAAGCCCUGGCAGGAGGGGAUGGGGGCGCGGCCCAGCAGUGAGACGGCGGGGUAACGGCCCAACGUGCCCGCAACGGGUAGCCGGGCUGAGAGGGUGAUCAGCCACAUUGGGGAUGAGAAGCGGCCCAGAGUCCUACGGGAGGCAGGAGUGGGAAAUUUUGCGCAAUGGGGGCAACCCGGACGCAGCGGCGCCGCGUGCGGGACGAAGUCAUUCGUGACGUAAACCGCUUUCAGCGAGGAAGAACCAUGACGGUACUCGCAGAAGAAGCCCCGGCUAACUACGUGCCAGCCGCCGCAGUAA